AAACAAAACAAAAAAAGGCAUAAAUGCAACACCAAUACACUUCGGAGCGAUGGCGAGUUCAUAUACAUACAUAGAACAUUUAUCGAGGGAUGGAUCGACGGAAAAUGUAACCGACAAGCAACACGAAAGUUGUUCAGCUAUGGAUGGAACAAAGGAUCAUACGACACAAGGCAUCUGAGGGAUACAGUAAUUAAGUAAUCGGUUUACGGCAUCUUAACUCAGAAAACAACCCCGAAAUGUACACAAUUAUCUGUUUUUAAUUUUUAUAACAGAUCGGAAGCAUUCUAUUCACACAUAUGGACACAAUUGAGAUUUCGUAGAACUGUGGAGUAGGCCUACUGGGGAUACCACGUUAAAAAAAACGCGCCUAGAACUUUACCAAAUGCUGGUGGUGUGGAAAAGAGUUCAUUUAUUUUCCGAUGCUCCUACGUGCUGUGCCGCCGGAAGCUAGCCAGUCAUAUAGAAUACUGUUGCUGGAUUACUGCAGCAUAUUCCAGGCGAAAGUCUUCUCCAUUAGUAAAGCUAGAAGUGGUCAAUGUCUACGUGGCGAAACGAUUCAUUCCAAGCCGCGUUAGGUUUCAAAACAAAUCGGUUUAUAAAAACAUAAUGUCGAGUCUUGCAUUUUAGAAACACUUUUUGUCUUUUUUGAUUAAAUUAUAUUAUGUAAAUAUAAAUUAAUUUUCAUUUAUUAUAAAGCUAUUCACGGUGUAGUGUUUCUUAAAUGAGUAGAAAAAAAACAUGAAAAAUUAAACACGAAAAUAAACAAAAUGGAUAAUAUCCUAGACGACAGCGAGAGGAUCUCGGUCUUGCCUGUCUUAUAGGACCCUAUUCCU
rnacentral:sRNA from 1 species